rnacentral:rRNA from 1 species
ACUCAAAGGAAUAGACGGGGGCCCGCACAAGCGGUGGAGCAUGUGGUUCAAUUCGAAGCAACGCGAAGAACCUUACCAGGCCUUGACAUCCCGGUCGCGGGUCCCUGAAAGGGGACCUUUCAGUUCGGCUGGACCGGUGACAGGUGCUGCAUGGCUGUCGUCAGCUCGUGUCGUGAGAUGUUGGGUUAAGUCCCGCAACGAGCGCAACCCUCGCCCUUAGUUGCCAUCAUUCAGUUGGGCACUCUAAGGGGACUGCCGGUGAUAAGCCGCGAGGAAGGUGGGGAUGACGUCAAGUCCUCAUGGCCCUUACGGCCUGGGCCACACACGUGCUACAAUGGCGGUGACAAUGGGCAGCAAUGGCGCAAGCCUGAGCUAAUCUCAAAAAGCCGUCUCAGUUCGGAUUGGAGUCUGCAACUCGACUCCAUGAAGUUGGAAUCGCUAGUAAUCGCGGAUCAGCACGCCGCGGUGAAUACGUUCCCGGGCCUUGUACACACCGCCCGU